UACGGAGGGUGCAAGCAUUAAUCGGAUUUAUUGGGCGUAAAGGGCGCGUAGGCGGGAAGUUAAGUCAGAUGUGAAAUCCCGGGGCUCAACCCCGGAACGGCAUUUGAAACUAGCAUUCUAAGAGGAUGGACGGAGAAAACGGAAUUCCACAAGUAGCGGUGAAAUGCGUAGAGAUCAUGAGGAAGACCAGUGGCGAAGGCGGGUCUCUGGACAGUUCCUGACACUGAGACACGAAGGCCAGGGGAGCAAACGGG
rnacentral:rRNA from 1 species